GAACAUAAUUACACUUUAAUCUUAGUAAUAAUGUGCUUUUAAAACAUUUCGGUUAAGAUUUAGGAUACAGACAGGGAAGUAUUGAUUCUGUUUUGAUAAUAAUAAAUGCAAAAUGAAUAAUUAUGAAUUAUGCGGAUGUGAUAAAAUAUGUAUCUGUAACAUUUUUGAGUAUUUUUCUUUUUUCAGAUCCAUCUAUCACAAUAUUUAAGCAGAUUAGAAAUGAUCAAGUUAUACUGAAAUGUCAACUGUAACAAAAUUAUUUCUCGUCAGGAAAGAGCAAUCAAUGUGGAUGCUAUAUGUUUUGUAAAUUACAUUAUUUGUUCGAACAAAGGCUUAGAAAAAUAUCACCGCUAAAGAUGUUCUCUUUUUUCCUUACCACUUUCAUGCUGUUAACCAUAAACUGCGGAUCUGUCCUAUCAAUAUGUAAGACAGGAUGUAAAUGUAGCUGGACAGGUUAUUGUAACGGCUGCAAAGAUGGGUAUUAUAUGAAUAGUAUUUUACUAUGCGAAAAAUGUUCAGCAAAUUGCUUCACAUGUUCAUCAAAUCGAAAUUGCACGGAAUGUAAAGCAGGAUUCUACAUAAAAACUUAUGACAACGGUGAAAAAUGGUGUAGAAAAUGUCCGAAAAAGUGUACAAUUUGCAAAUCAGAAAAUGAAUGUCAUGAAUGUAACGACGGUUACCAUCGGUAUGGCCAAUUUUGCUUGCCAUGUCCUAGAGGGUUUUACUGGCUGAAAUCUGUUUGUUUACCUUGCCUCAAAAACUGUGCCUCAUGCGCGAUGCAUUAUGAAUGCACUGAAUGCAAACCUGGAUAUUUUGGACGUACGUGUUCACAAAGGUGUUCUCCUGGAUGCGUAUACAACAUUUGUGAAAACGAAACCGGAAAAUGCAGUUGUCAAGACAACUUUGUAGGAGAAUCAUGUGGUUCAUGUACUCCUAGAAGAUUUGGACAAGCUUGUAACCAAGACUGCCCUAAGAGUUGUUGGACUUGUGAUUCAUACGAAAACUGUACUAUGUGUGUUGCCGGAUAUUAUGGUAAGAGAUGCAAACAGAGUUGCUCUAGUGGAUGUUCGGAGAGUAGCUGUAACCCGGUAAACGGUAUUUGCGAUAAAUGUAAGCCUUCAAAUUAUGGACAAAGAUGUGAAAUGACUUGUCCAAGUGGGUGUUUAGACGAAGUUUGCGACAGGGAAACAGGCGACUGUCGUAAAUGUAAAUCAUUUUUCAAAUUGCCAAAAUGUAUAAAUUGUAUGGAUGGGUAUUGGGGUAAAAACUGUGUAAGCAAUUGUCUCGACAGCUGCCGUUCCUGUUUAUCAAUUACGGAGUGCACAAAAUGCAAAGAUGGAUAUCACGGCAAGAACUGUGGAAAGAAAUGCUCUUAUGGUUGCUUAUCAGAUUUAUGUGACCAAAACACAGGAAGAUGCUCUGAAAGCUGCAAAGCAAACUUUACCAGAACGUACUGCAGUCGGUGUAUAUCUGGAAUGUAUGGAUCUAAUUGCAGCGCAAAGUGUCCAGAGAACUGUUAUAAUGAAAUAUGUGAUACAAGGGAUGGGACAUGCUUGUUAGGAUGCAUUCCUAAAUUUCAUGGAAAGUAUUGCAAUACUUCGUGUCCAGGCAACUGCAAGAAAUGUACCUUAGAAACUUCCUGCCAGUCCUGUGAAGAUCGUUUUUGGGGAGAGCGUUGUCAGACAAAAUGCGCUACUGUGUGUUCGGAUGGCACGUGCCGGUCGGAUGGAACUUGCAAUGCAUGUAUUUCUGGUUACUAUGGAGAUUAUUGCAAUAGACCAUGCCCGGAGAACUGUAUUAACUCCUUGUGCAAUAUGUCAGGUUAUUGCAACGAUUGUCAGCCAGGUUAUUUCGGUAUAUUCUGUUCUGAGCUUUGUCCUCCAAAUUGUUUAUCAGGUGACUGUUUACAGGACGGAAGUUGUCAUUCUUGCUUAUCUGGGUUUUACGGAUCCAAGUGUCACAGACCUUGUCCCAAAAAUUGUCAGUCCUGUACAGAUAGUAUGUCGUGCGAGUCAUGUUUCAAUGGUUUUUAUGGUCAGUUUUGCCAAGACAAAUGCAGUUACUGUAAAAGAGGAACAUCUUGUAAUAUUGAUACUGGUUAUUGUAAAUUUUGUGAAGAGGGAUUGUAUGGCAACAAAUGCAGAUCGAAAUGUGACUGUAAUAGUAAUUGUGUACAUCAGGUAUGUGAUUUGCCAACAGGAAAAUGUAGCUUAGGAUGCGUGGUUGGAUUCUACGGAGAAAAUUGCAGUCAUUUAUGCAGUGGUAAUUGUCGCAACAGAACAUGCGAUAGACAGACGGGAUCCUGUGACAAUGGAUGUCUAGAAGGUUUUGAAGGGGUCAUGUGUUCACAGGACAAAAUGGAAAACAGCGACAGGAAGUAACUUUGCGUUCAAGGGAUGUAGUUGAAUAUAACCAUGAAACAGCAGCUUGUAGAAUUAUGGAAGACUCAGGUCAUGUGUAUGCAGAGCCAACUGAAGACCAGACUGAGGAAGGACCUUCAGUGAACACAGAACGCGGUGCAAUCCGCCGAGAAGGCAUCAGAACAAACAGUUACAUGUAUAUUCAUCCGAUAUAUUCUGUUUC
rnacentral:misc_RNA from 1 species